rnacentral:misc_RNA from 1 species
GAAAUGCGAUAAGUAAUGUGAAUUGCAGAAUUCAGUGAAUCAUCGAAUCUUUGAACGCACAUUGCGCCUGGUGGUAUUCCGCCAGGCAUGCCUGUUCGAGCGUCAUUAUAACCACUCAAGCCUGGCUUGGUGUUGGGGUUCGCGGUCCCGCGGCUCCUAAAAUCAGUGGCGGUGCCGGUGGGCUCUAAGCGUAGUAAAUCUCCUCGCUAUAGGGUCCCUCCGGUUGCCUGCCAGAACCCCCCAUUUUAUCAGGUUGACCUCGGAUCAGGUAGGGAUACCCGCUGAACUUAA